CCUACGGGGGGCAGCAGUGGGGAAUAUUGGACAAUGGGCGAAAGCCUGAUCCAGCCAUGCCGCGUGUGUGAAGAAGGCCUUCGGGUUGUAAAGCACUUUCAGUGGGGAAGAAAGCCUUGGGGCUAAUACCCUCGAGGAAGGACAUCACCCACAGAAGAAGCACCGGCUAACUCCGUGCCAGCAGCCGCGGUAAUACGGAGGGUGCGAGCGUUAAUCGGAAUUACUGGGCGUAAAGCGCGCGUAGGCGGUCUGAUAAGCCGGUUGUGAAAGCCCCGGGCUCAACCUGGGAACGGCAUCCGGAACUGUCAGGCUAGAGUGCAGGAGAGGAAGGUAGAAUUCCCGGAGUAGCGGUGAAAUGCGUAGAGAUCGGGAGGAAUACCAGUGGCGAAGGCGGCCUUCUGGACUGACACUGACGCUGAGGUGCGAAAGCGUGGGUAGCAAACAGGAUUAGAUACCCGAGUAGUC
rnacentral:rRNA from 1 species